GUAGUCCGCACUGUAAACGAUGGAUACUUGCCGUUGGAGGUAUUGACCCCUUCAGUGGCGAAGCUAACGCGUUAAGUAUCCCGCCUGGGGAGUACGGUCGCAAGAUUAAAACUCAAAGAAAUUGACGGGGGCCCGCACAAGCGGUGGAGCAUGUGGUUUAAUUCGAUGCAACGCGAAGAACCUUACCCGGGUUUGACAUGUACUGGAAGGUUGGCAGAGAUGCCGCCGCCCGCAAGGGCCGGUACACAGGUGCUGCAUGGCUGUCGUCAGCUCGUGUCGUGAGAUGUUGGGUUAAGUCCCGCAACGAGCGCAACCCUUGCCUUUAGUUGCCAGCAUUCAGUUGGGCACUCUAAAGGGACUGCCGACGUUAAGUCGGA
rnacentral:rRNA from 1 species